CUCCGGACGUGGUAAGCUGCUGAGUACCUUCUCAUCAAGCUCCUUCACAGAGUGGCUAUGCUUACAGUUAUCCAGAUCCGCCUGGUAUCUGAGAAGAAAUUAAAGGGAAUGCAGCGCCGCGAGUACCGCGAUCCUCAGGCCAAGAUAUUUAAGCUAUGGCACGAGUUUGACGAGAAUGAAAGAUCAGCGAAAUGUCUCGUGAAAUCCUCUUCCCAUCUUAAUGGGCGCACAGAAAGUAAAUGUUAAUGAACACGUAGUCAAACAAACAGGUUGUUUAGGAGCCCCUAAAUAAAUAAAAGCAAUGACGAACAGUUAUCCUAGCUCGCAGAACACGGUAAAGGGGGUUCCACAAAAUUUAAAAUGGCGUGCAUAUCCGUUGUACGAAUUAAAUGGCAAGCCUUGGUUAGAAUCUACAUGAUACCUUAAGGAGAGAAACUAAAAAGUAAAAUAUAGUAGUGAAAGUACUAUGGAACGAAGUGACCAUUUCCUGGAACGAACUGACUAUUUUGUGAAACGAAGUGACCUUUUAGAUGGAACGAACUGACUUGAAAUGAACUGACCAUCUAUCAAAGUGACCAGAAGUCGUAUAAAACUUAUUUUUACAGCGUUGGACCUUUCUUGGAAGAGUAUAUUGAGAGUACCUGCUUUAUUUUAGGUGGUUCACCGUAUCCAAGGAUGGAUGGAAGAAAAAUUGCAAAGUUGCUUGAAGAGGGAUACAGAAUGCCUAAGCCACAACAUGUGAAUGAGAAGUUGUACGAAAAAAAAGACAAAACUGGUCUUUUUCUCUUUCCUUACGUUGCCUUUUCUCCUGCAGCAGUAUGACAUAAUGACAAACUGUUGGAAAGGCGACCCCAACUUGAGACCAUCUUUUGAGAGUUUGAGAAACAAACUCAAAGAAAUGGAAAAGCAGCGCAAGGGACUGAUAGACUUAAACUAUUACGACGAUCGACUCUACGUGAAUGUUGACGAUCUUGCCGUGUAAUCAGUCGAAUUUUCACGGAGAAAAUGAUAGAGCGAUAAAUCUUGCAGCCCCUUGAGAUCCUGAACUAUUAUAUUUUGGAUUUGACGUUAACCUUUCAUUCUGUGUUAAGAAAAAAACAAACUAUUUAACAACGAAGCGAGGGAAAGUACAGCUUUCAGAUAUUUUCAUAGGUAGUUUUUCUUUUUUAAUUUUUAGGCUUAAAAAGACGACUAAUUUGUAUACGAUCCUAUACUAUCUUGGAUUUGACGUUAACCUUUCGUUCUGUGUUAAGACAAAACAAACUAUUUAACAGCGAAGCGGGGGAAAGUACAGCUUUCGUAUAUUUUUAUAUGUAUUCUUUUUUAAUUUAUAGGCUUAAAAAGACGAACAAUUUGUAUACGAGGAUAUGAAAGCAGUAAUCGUUUUUAUUUUCAGCAAUAUAUAUUAAUUUCGUAUAAAAUGUGUCGAAAAUAUAACCAAUUUUUUUUAAAAAU